CCGCCCCCCGCCCCGCUUCCUUUCUCUGAGCGUCCGGCCAGGCCGGCAUCUCUUCAAUCGAGUUUCCUCAUCUGAGAAACGGGGAGACGAUGUGGGGCUCCGCCGGUAACCGAAUAGGUGACUUUCAGCAGGUUCACACUUCUCAGUGCACACGCAUCCUGUAAAAACGGUGAUUCCGAGGGCAGCGUAGAUGUGCGUUCAUGUUAGCGUUCAAUGAACGGUUCACGAUGAGGAGCUCUGCUUUUCCAUGUUGGAGGAGGAGUCAGUAUGUGCCCUGGAUGCAUUCAUUCACGCAUUCGUUCAUGGCUUAUUUUGUGCUAGGUGCUGGGGAAACAGCAGGGAAGGAGACAGACUCAGUCCCUGACCUCACAGAACUUAAAUUUUGGUGAGAGGCAACCAGUACCCACACAGAUGGUUUGUCCUUACUUGCUGGAGCAUGUUUAUAGUAGCUGCUUUAAAGACUUUGUCAGAUAAUUCCAACAGCUGUGUACUCUCAGCAUCUGUUGAUUGUCUUUUCCUUUGUGAGUUGAGAUUUUCAUGUUUCUUCAUAUGUGUUAGCUCUGAUCAAAUAAUCAAAUCGAUAUCCCCUCCUCUGGGAAACUGACCUUUAGAUCAUUUCACAACUGACAUUCUCUUUCACUUAGAUGACAUUCCAUUUGCUAAGAACAGCAACUUUCCCCUCCAGACUUGCCCAGGGUCUGGACUUGCCCAGAGAAUUCUCCAUGGAAAAAGCCCUCCUAGAGUCCUUUAAAAUUUCUGACUCCCCGUCCCUGGCUGCUGAUGCCAUUUUGGCUCAGCCCAUCUGGUCUCCACAUGAUCUAAUAAAUUUAUAAUCCCUUGCCACUCUUG